GGGAGUAAAUUAGAAUGAAAUUGAAUCUGAAAUUGGAUUGCUGGUGCAGAUCCCAGCAGGUUUUUAUUAGACGGAAAGACCCCGAGAUCUUUAUAUCGUGAUAUUUACUUGGGGCAAGGUCAUAUGAUUUAUGUGAUUUUAGAUCCUAGCGGAUAAAAGGUUUAAGUUACCUCGGGGAUAACUAGGUAAAAAAUGAGGAGAGACCUUAUCGAUUCAUUUGAUUGCCAUCUCGAUGUUGACUUAGGAAAUGUGAUGAGGUGCAGAAGUUUCGUCACGUGGUCUGUUCGACCCCCGUUCCUUCAUGAGCUG
rnacentral:rRNA from 1 species